UACGGAGGGUGCGAGCGUUGUCCGGAAUCACUGGGCGUAAAGGGCGCGUAGGUGGCGUCGCAAGUCAACGGUGAAAGCUCGACGCUCAACGUCGAGUCGGCCGUCGAGACUGCGAGGCUUGAGCACUGUAGAGGCAGAUGGAAUUCCGGGUGUAGCGGUGGAAUGCGUAGAGAUCCGGAAGAACACCUGUGGUGUAGACAGCUUACUGGACCGCUUCUGACGCUGAGACACGAAAGCGUGGGUAGCAAACAGG
rnacentral:rRNA from 1 species